rnacentral:rRNA from 1 species
CGCGUAGGCGGCCUGAUAAGUAGGGGGUGAAAUCCUGUGGCUCAACUGCAGGGCUGCCUCCUAGACUGUCGGGCUUGAGCACGGUAGAGGCAGAUGGAAUUCCCGGUGUAGCGGUGGAAUGCGUAGAGAUCGGGAAGAACAUCGGUGGCGAAGGCGGUCUGCUGGGCCGUUGCUGACGCUGAGGCGCGACAGCGUGGGGAGCAAACA